rnacentral:rRNA from 1 species
UGGGGAAUAUUGGACAAUGGGGGCAACCCUGAUCCAGCCAUGCCGCGUGAGUGAUGAAGGCCUUCGGGUUGUAAAGCUCUUUUGGCGGGGACGAUGAUGACGGUACCCGCAGAAUAAGCCCCGGCUAACUUCGUGCCAGCAGCCGCGGUAAGACGAAGGGGGCUAGCGUUGUUCGGAAUUACUGGGCGUAAAGCGAGUGUAGGCGGUUGCCGUAGUCAGGUGUGAAAGCCUUGAGCUCAACUCAAGAAAUGCACUUGAUACUGGGUGACUAGAGGACCGGAGAGGAUAGUGGAAUUCCCAGUGUAGUGGUGAAAUACGUAGAGAUUGGGAAGAACACCAGUGGCGAAGGCGGCUAUCUGGACGGUUACUGACGCUAAGACUCGAAAGCGUGGGGAGCAAAACAGGAUUAGAUACCCUGGUAGUCCACGCCGUAAAACGAUGGGUGCUGACGUUGGCGAGCUUGCUCGUCAGUGUCGCAGCUAACGCGUUAAGCACCCCCGCCCUGGGGAGUACGGCCCGCAAAGGGUUGAAACUCAAAAGGAAUUGCGGGGGUCAUAGCUGUUUCCU